rnacentral:ncRNA from 1 species
UUGAGCCGUAUGCGGAGUAAUUCGCUUGUACGGUUCUUUGGGAGGAAAGCACGCUAAGUGCCUACCUACCCGCU